rnacentral:rRNA from 1 species
UACGGGGGGGGCAAGCGUUGUUCGGAAUUACUGGGCGUAAAGGGCGCGUAGGCGGGCAUUCAAGUCCGUGGUGAAAUCCUCCAGCUCAACUGGAGAACUGCCUCGGAUACUGGGUGCCUCGAGGGUGGUAGGGGUAUGCGGAACUAUCGGUGGAGCGGUGAAAUGUGUUGAUAUCGAUAGGAACUCCGGUGGCGAAGGCGGCAUACUGGACCACAUCUGACGCUGAGGCGCGAAAGCCAGGGGAGCGAACGGG